GUGUGAAGAAGGCCUUCGGGUUGUAAAGCACUUUCAGUUGUGAGGAAAAGUUAGUAGUUAAUACCUGCUAGCCGUGACGUUAACAACAGAAGAAGCACCGGCUAACUCCGUGCCAGCAGCCGCGGUAAUACGGAGGGUGCGAGCGUUAAUCGGAAUUACUGGGCGUAAAGCGCACGCAGGCGGUUUGUUAAGCUAGAUGUGAAAGCCCCGGGCUCAACCUGGGAUGGUCAUUUAGAACUGGCAGACUAGAGUCUUGGAGAGGGGAGUGGAAUUCCAGGUGUAGCGGUGAAAUGCGUAGAUAUCUGGAGGAACAUCAGUGGCGAAGGCGACUCCCUGGCCAAAGACUGACGCUCAUGUGCGAAAGUGUGGGUAGCGAACAGGAUUAGAUACCCUGGUAGUCCACACCGUAAACGCUGUCUACUAGCUGUGUGUGCCUUUAAGGCGUGCGUAGCGAAGCUAACGCGCUAAGUAGACCGCCUGGGGAGUACGGCCGCAAGGUUAAAACUCAAAUGAAUUGACGGGGGCCCGCACAAGCGGUGGAGCAUGUGGUUUAAUUCGAUGCAACGCGAAGAACCUUACCUACACUUGACAUGCUGAGAAGUUACUAGAGAUAGUUUCGUGCCUUCGGGAACUCAGACACAGGUGCUGCAUGGCUGUCGUCAGCUCGUGUCGUGAGAUGUUGGGUUAAGUCCCGCAACGAGCGCAACCCUUGUCCUUAGUUGCCAGCCUUAAGUUGGGCACUCUAAGGAGACUGCCGGUGACAAACCGGA
rnacentral:rRNA from 1 species